rnacentral:rRNA from 1 species
AACGAACGCUGGCGGCGUGCUUAACACAUGCAAGUCGAACGGAAGUCCUUCGGGGCUUUAGUGGCGCACAGGUGAGUAAUGUAUGGGGAAUUUGCCUUUUUGAGGGGGAUAGCUACGGGAAACUGUGGAUAAUACCGCGUAAGCAAGUUAGUUGAAAUACUAAUUUGGAAAGGAGGGGACCUUCGGGCCUUCCGCAAAAAGAGAAGCCCAUAUCCCAUUAGCUUGUUGGUAGGGUAAAGGCCUACCAAGGCGAAGAUGGGUAGCUGGUCUGAGAGGAUGAUCAGCCACACUGGAACUGAGACACGGUCCAGACUCCUACGGGAGGCAGCAGUGGGGAAUUUUGCGCAAUGGGGGAAACCCUGACGCAGCAACGCCGCGUGAGUGAAGACGGUUUUCGGAUUGUAAAGCUCUUUCGACUAGGGAGAAGGUGUAAAAGGUUAAUACCCUU